UAGAGUUUGGAUCCUGGCUCAGAUUGAACGCUGGCGGCAGGCCUAACACAUGCAAGUCGAACGGUAACAUUUCUAGCUUGCUAGAAGAUGACGAGUGGCGGACGGGUGAGUAAUGCUUGGGAAUUUGCCUUUGCGAGGGGGAUAACAGUUGGAAACGACUGCUAAUACCGCAUAACGUCUACGGACCAAAGGGGGCUUCGGCUCUCGCGUGAAGAGAAGCCCAAGUGAGAUUAGCUAGUUGGUGGGGUAAAGGCUCACCAAGGCGACGAUCUCUAGCUGUUCUGAGAGGAAGAUCAGCCACACUGGGACUGAGACACGGCCCAGACUCCUACGGGAGGCAGCAGUGGGGAAUAUUGCACAAUGGGGGAAACCCUGAUGCAGCCAUGCCGCGUGUGUGAAGAAGGCCUUCGGGUUGUAAAGCACUUUCAGUUGUGAGGAAAAGUUAGUAGUUAAUACCUGCUAGCCGGACGUACACC
rnacentral:rRNA from 1 species